CGCUUCUUUCCUCUCUGUAACUAAGAUGAGAAUGACUUGUUUCAUUUAUGAAAUGUAACCUGGCUGAUAAAUCUUUUAAGUUCUUUUUUUUUUUUAAAUAAACGGUGUUUGAUAAUAUUACUGGGUUUGGGUAAUUGUCACUGUAUCUUGAAGAAAGUGCAUUAACUGGGACAGAGAAUAGGACAAAUUAUUCUCUGAUCCUAUAUCUGACCAAUAUUCGCCCUUAUUCUAGUAAGGUGGUGUUACUACUAUGUGGCAGACAAAAACCAGAGGAUCAGCAACAAUGCAAGACUGACUUAAAGCACUUACAGCAUAUUUUGUUGUGCUCCCUACUUUUCUAGAAUACUAGGCAAGUUGGUUAUUAUAGUUUAAGAGAAGGGCAAAUAUGUCUUAGGCUUAUUCACACUUUUUUUUUUUUUUGUAGGUGCUGUUUGUUGACUGAAUUAAAUAUGGCACUCAAAUUGCUUAAACAAUAUUCACACAAUAUCUGUAUUAAGAAAAAAAAAACAAACACCACAACAAAUUAGAACCCCAUUUAGGUAAACUGUAUGUUCAGCUUCUUUAGGAAAGUCUAAAUAUGAUUACAUAACUGUCUGAAGAGCCACGUAAGCUGCCAAAGUUCUGUGGGUGUUUCAGAUUCAGAAUCCAACCUUCAGUUCCCCCUACUCAUUUUUGUUCCUUGACAGAUUCAGUCCUUGUCUAUCACUCAAGGUAAGUUCUGCUGCAGCAGCAGUCUGAGCAUUAGCAUAGAUGAAAUUCAGAUGACAGAGACCUGAUCUUGUAUCAACUUUAAAUGCAAACUAAGGCACAGCUAGAUCUCUCCAAGGAAACAAAGAGCAGUUUGUUCUGCCAGUACCGGAGGCAUGAGCGCUAGACCGUUAUAGCACAGCUCAGGCUGUGGCCAAGCACUAAUUUUUCCCUGACACCCUCUGGCCUGCACUAACACCAUUCAGCUGCACAUUCUCCAAACUAAGUACCUCACCUGCUGGGAAAGGCCUCCCUGAGAACCAGUCUCUUGUACUCCCAGAAGUUUCCAAUUACAGACUCAGAAGCUUUUGCCUGUUUUCUUUAAGCUGGAGUCUUUUUCCCCAGUCACUCAGAUUCCAUGGUGGAACAACCAUACAGCACACUUAUCUGAACUGCAGUAAACUUCAAACAAAAAUGUAAUUAGCAAAUACAUAGUAUGCUAUAGAAAAACCUGACAUAAAACGAUACCUGUUAGCUUGAAUCUUCCGUAACAUUAAGAUUUUAUUCAGAAUAGUAGAUCUUACUAGUAUUACACUUUAGCUGUACCUUUAAGCACUCUCCCAUCAUGCUCUGUCAGUCCUAUAAAUCUGCCUGCUUCUGCUGCAACUUCACAGUACUCAGGCACCCUGCCUGGCUGUUUGAGUUGCUACAUCAUUCAUCAAUAUUUUCUGAAUAGCAAGGUGAGAAAAGACAAGCAGGAAAAAAAAAGGAAGUAAGAUAGGUCACUUGCUGGUUUAUCUCCAAUUCACAACUCAUUAGAAGAGACAAGUUAAACAGAGGUCUUGGAAGCUGUUACCUGCUCAGACUUUAAAAGAAUUAAUGCAAGACUGCUUACAAGAGAACUUGCUGCUUACCCAAGAACUGCUUACAAAGUAAAACACUGGUGCAGGAAUACUGUUAUCCAUCUUCGGCUCUUAUAUAACUUAUUUCAGAAGAUGUUACAAUGAUUAAGCAUGUAAGUUUGUUGACUCCAAGUGUGGUGUCUCCCCUGUUUUCACUAGAAAAUGACUGUCUUGCCCAUCAGUUUCAGCCAGCUGUGUGCUCAUACCUCAAAAGUACAAACAAAAUGCCGAAGGCCAUUUGGGCUCUAGCAACUUAACAGACUUAUAUUUGUUGAUAUGGCAACUGAAGCACCAAGGUUUAAGUGAAAAUUGUAGGACUUGAUUGCCUGAAGUUAAGUAAGAAAUACUCAGAUAAGUAAAUAUGUAAAAAGGCCCCUUUUUGAGUGAUACACAAAGCCCUUGUAACUUGGAGACCUGUGCCUGUCUGCAGAACAGAUUUCCUAAUAUGUGUAAAUAAGGAUCUGGACGUGUAACUGCAGGCAUUCAAACUUGAAAAGUUUGGUCUACUACUCUAUUUCUCCUUUUGAUGCUGAGUACAUCACACCACGCUGCUCGGGUGUUUGUUUGUUUUCAAAUUAUCAUGGUUAUAAUUUUGACAGUAGCUUUGUAGAAUAGAAGACCAAAUGGAGAUGUCAACUGUGUGAGCAGGGACAAGGAACAUAUGGCUGGGUAUAUUCAGACCAACAAAAGAUUCCUUUCAGCCCAGUGAGAGGGGAAAGAAAGCUACAGAGAAUAGCAGCAUCAGGAAAGGGGAAUGGAUAUAGAGGGUAAAGACAUCUACAUAAGCUGUAUGAAUAACAUACUGCCUGGAGAUUUAAUAUUGGAAAGUUAGCUCUGUUGCUUGGUUCAUUUGGAGAGAGUAUAUAGGCCUGGGAAUUAAAAAUCAGGAGCUCUGGAAACAACUGUCAUCAUCGUCUUCCAUUAAUGAUCUGUGUAGUCUUCUCAGGGUUUGGUGUUGGGGCCUUUGCUCUGAAACUGCAAAGCCAGACUGGAAGCUGUCUGAACCCACGGCCAGUUAUAUUUGGAUCACCUAAGCUCAUUAAUAAACAUCUUUUCUUACAACUUUUAAGUCUUUACAGCCGUUAGUAGCAACCUUCAUACUGCUAUCACUCAAUGUGGACGGGCUCAGAGAAGCAGGAUUUUUCCUUACCAGACGAAAGAUGUGGUGCGUCUGGCUCUUGUCUUCCUGCCACGGUCCUUCUGGCACACCCAGGACUUCCGUGGUUGUGGCCGUUACAGCCGUGGCAGUCUUCACUCCGAGUCGUGUGGCCAAGGUUCCCUUUGCAGUUGUCAGUCUUGCUUCAUUUGCAAGGAGAGUGUGCCAUGAACAUUUGCUCUGGCUUUUCUUCCCUUUCUCCGUUGUUCUCUCAGGCCUAUAUUUAGCUUUGGCAUAAGCAACCUGGUCUUUGACUUUGGUCAUGCACACUUGUGCCAGAACUAAAUUUGGGCUUCUGUCUUGCCUGUGUGGCACACUGGCACUUUUAAAAUGACAGAGAAAUGUAGUUUAAAUGGACUAGACUCUGGCAAUUCAUAAAGCUCUAGUUGUAACUACCCGAGGACAAGUUAAUAGAUUAUGCUGUUUGAUUCCUCUGACUUCUUGGCACAGCUGUUUGGGAUAUAAAUCCUCUCAGUAGUGAACGGUUAGUUUCCAAAUCCUUAAUGUGCUAUACUAGGCAAAAAGUUCAUAGAACGAUGUUGAGGGGAGAAAAAAUGUAAUGAGAUAUUAAAAUUGAUGUGCAUGCUCGCCACAUGCUGUAUUGUUGUAGGUGAAUCUAAAAGCAGGAAAACAGAGAGGAUGGAGUAUUCAGGGGACCUGGGGGGUCUGUCAGACUACUAAAGGCUCUGGUUAUCCCACAAGGAAACCUGUCCUUUCUUCCCAUCACAGUAAGGCAUUGACAGCUGUCAGAAGGCAUAGCAUAGAAGGCGUAUUUGCAGGACAAAAGAGUCCAGGAGAUGACAAAUUGAUUAAAAGGUGAAGCUUAAAAAUGUGAUGUCUUCUGAAAUUUUAAUAAUCCCUGCCCGUGAGAACGUAUAUAUAGUAGCUGGACAGUUUCUAGUACUGUUUAGGAACAUCCACAGCAAUCUUGGCUUUCUGAUCUAGCUCUCAAAAGGAGGAAAAUAUUAAUUUUCAGGGUCUUAAAAUACAUAAACAAUAGGUAUCUCAGCACAACCUGAGGUUGUCUCCUAUCAACUUUAUAAUCUUUAUAUUCUAGAUAAAUAAACACUUCAGUCUUGGAGUUUAUUAGUCCAAAAUAUAUUUAUUACCUCAUAAAUUCAAAGCCCUUCCAGUUAACAUCUAAUUAAACUGCAGUAGUGUGCAAGCUGUCUUAGGGGACGUAUUAAUAAUGAAAUUACGUUGUGAAACAGUAAUUACAUGCUUUGUACAUUCUUUUCCUUACUUUUUUUUUUUUCAGAAUCUAUGUGAUGAGUGGGGCACACAGUGCUCCAUUGUUUUGAGCUCCUCCAAACUCUGAAUUGUUUUAACUCUGCAAGCUCUCAGUUCAUGAAACAUAUUAUGGCUGAAGAUGUAAAGAAGACAUUAAAGCUUUUGCCCACUUACAGCUAUUACUCUGGAGACAAACACAACUAAGAAGACAAAUGUUAUGAGCUACCUUUCGCCUCUAGGGAGAAGAAGAGGGAAGAAAAGGCUACAUGUGACAGAUGCUAAUUAUGCAGCUUAAUGCACUUCUGGAAGUUGCAGAGAUGAGAACUAUGUAAGAACCUAUCUGAAAAAUAGAAAGCAUAUUUUCAAUAACAUUUUCCCUUUUUUAAUUUUAUUUUUAAUUUGCCUCCUCCCUCUUUUUUUAAGGAGGCUUUAUUUCUCAAAUAGUAUGUACUGCAAGCAAAGGGCAAGCUAUGUUUCAGGUCCAAAAUUUUCCAUAAAUGCAUAUGACUGUUA